rnacentral:lncRNA from 1 species
UUUCAUCACACCCACUGUUUCCAACUGCCCUAGGGUUCUAGACCUCAAUUUUCUCAAUAAUUGGGAACUGGGUAUUUCAACUAGCCACCACCACCACCCACCCCUUACAACCAGCCACCACCACCACCACUUGACCAUCGCAACCCCCCCUCUCUCAAUCCCAUCCGGCGACACCAUCAACCAUCGCAACCCCCCUCUCUUUCUCAUUCCCUCCGGCGACACCAACAAUCGACACCAUCAACCAUCAAGAACCACCAUUGUCUCCACCGCACCACUGACCUACCGCCAUCAAAGUAGACGCACCAACCACCAUCAUCUCUGACGAACAAAAACAAGCAGUCGGUUUUUUUUUUCAAUUUGCAGAUUGGUUUGAAGGCUUGAAUCGGAGGUUAAUUUGGGUUUUAUUUGUGAGGCUGUAAAUUGAUGAUGGUUUUUUUCAAUUUGUAUAUUUGUGCGAAUGCAGGAGAUGUUUAUGUCUUGGAUCUCAUGAUAUGAUGCCAAUUUGGGUUUUAUUUGUGAAGCUUUGGAUUUAUGGUGGUGUUGGAAGGAGAUGAUGGUGGAAGGAGGCAGUGGUACAGAGGAUGGACGAUCAGAAGAAUGGGUGUUUGUUUAAAGAAAGAGAGAGAUAAAUGAUAUAUAAUAUUUUUUUUCUUU